UAGAGCUGGCAACGGUGGCACUGCCCGGA
rnacentral:sRNA from 1 species